rnacentral:rRNA from 1 species
GACGAACGCUGGCGGCGUGCUUAACACAUGCAAGUCGAACGGAAAGGCCCUGCUUUUGUGGUUUGCUCGAGUGCCAACCGGGUGCGUAACACUAACGUAUCCUGCCCUUGCCUUUGGGAUAACUUCAAGAAACUGGGGCUAAUACCAAUUAGUAACUCCUGCGUCAUGGUGGGUGUUGGAACGUUUCGGCGGUUGGGGAUGGACUGGGGGCUUAUCAUCUUGUUGGUGGGGUAGUGGCUUACCAAGGCUUUGACGGGUAGCCGGCCUGAGAGGGUGACCGGCCACAUGGGGACUGAGAUACGGCCCAGACUCCUACGGGAGGCAGCAGUGGGGAAGAUUGCACGAUGGGCGGAAGCAGGAUGCAGCAACGCCGCGUGCGGGAUGAUGGCCUGCGGGUUUGAAACCGCUUUCGCCUGUGACGAAGCGUGAGUGACGGUAAUGGGUAAAGAAGCACCGGCUAACUACGUG